rnacentral:misc_RNA from 1 species
GAAAUGCGAUAAGUAGUGUGAAUUGCAGAAUUCAGUGAAUCAUCGAAUCUUUGAACGCACAUUGCGCCCCUUGGUAUUCCAUGGGGCAUGCCUGUUCGAGCGUCAUUUGUACCCUCAAGCUCUGCUUGGUGUUGGGUGUUUGUCCCCGUCUCCGCGCGUGGACUCGCCCCAAAGUGAUUGGCAGCCGGCGUACUGGUCCCGGAGCGCAGCACAUGUCUCGCAAACGAGUGCCUUGGUACGGCGGCGUCCAUAAGCCCCUCUCUCACGCUCUUGACCUCGGAUCAGGUAGGGAUACCCGCUGAACUUAAGC